UACGUAGGGUGCAAGCGUUGUCCGGAAUUAUUGGGCGUAAAGAGCUUGUAGGCGGUUUGUCGCGUCUGCUGUGAAAUUUCGGGGCUCAACCCCGAACUUGCAGUGGGUACGGGGAGACUAGAGUGUGGUAGGGGAGACUGGAAUUCCGGGUGUAGUGGUGGAAUGCGUAGAGAUCCGGAGGAACACCAGCGGCGAAGGCGGCAUCCUGGACUGGUCCUGACACUCAGGAGCGAAAGCGUGGGGAGCGAGCCGG
rnacentral:rRNA from 1 species